AGUGAACGCUGGCGGUAGGCCUAACACAUGCAAGUCGAACGGCAGCACAGUAAGAGCUUGCUCUUACGGGUGGCGAGUGGCGGACGGGUGAGGAAUACAUCGGAAUCUACUUUUUCGUGGGGGAUAACGUAGGGAAACUUACGCUAAUACCGCAUACGACCUACGGGUGAAAGCAGGGGAUCUUCGGACCUUGCGCGAUUGAAUGAGCCGAUGUCGGAUUAGCUAGUUGGCGGGGUAAAGGCCCACCAAGGCGACGAUCCGUAGCUGGUCUGCGAGGAUGUUCAGCCACACUGGAACUGAGACACGGUCCAGACUCCUACGGGAGGCAGCAGUGGGGAAUAUUGGACAAUGGGCGCAAGCCUGAUCCAGCCAUACCGCGUGGGUGAAGAAGGCCUUCGGGUUGUAAAGCCCUUUUGUUGGGAAAGAAAAGCAGCAGGUUAAUACCCCGCUGUUCUGACGGUACCCAAAGAAUAAGCACCGGCUAACUUCGUG
rnacentral:rRNA from 1 species